rnacentral:lncRNA from 1 species
AGGGGGGAUGGGCUAUGAGGAGAAUUGUUUAUCCACCUGUACAGGGAAUCCUUAGCGAUCCUAGUCCAUUUGUGGGUCCCCAAAUAUCUCCAUUGUGGAAUUGCUUCAGGCCCCUGACAUUUGGAAGUGUGGGUACAGAAUGGUUCUAACCAGCUCUCCAGCCUCCAGGAUUUAGGCAAAGAGGAUAAAAAGCUGUGCUGUGCUGUGUCUCACCUACUGUCCUUGGAGCAUUAUCAACACUGACAGAUAACCAGAGCUCAGCCAGAUGACUCACCAGGGAGGUUUAACUCCUUCAGGGAUGGUUCAGAGCCGGCUCCCAGGAUAUUGGGGAAAACAACCAGAUACAGGGAGAUUUGUUUAUUGGUUUGACAAAUAUUUACUGAGCACCUAGAAGGGACAGACCCUGAGCAACACAGAGGGGUCUCAGUUUUCACGUAGUUGGACUCCCCCAGAGAGGGAGGCAAGAACUAAACAAGGUGUUUAAAUAAAAACAGGACAAGUCAGCUUGCAAUUAAAUGCUGGGAAGAUAAGGGACAGGUCAGCAGCUCUUUGGAUUUGAGAGCAUCAAAAUCACCUGGAGGUCUUAAAAAAACACAGGUGGGCAGGCCCAUCCCCAGAAUGUCUUGUUCAGUGUGCCUGAGGGUGGGGAUGGAGGACUUGUGUUUCUAACAUGCGCUCAGGUGCUGUUGGUCCCUGGACCAACUUUGAGAAGCAGACUAGGGUGACAUCUUGAAGGAGUGGGAGAAGAGGCUGGUUUAGAGGCAGAUCGGGAGGCUCAAGUGAGAGGCCGGAUGAUUGUGCCCCUAUUUAAUUGUCUGGA